CAAGAAACCACUCACACUCACCUGACCAGCAGGAACCCAGGGGAGCCGGCCUUAAUCCUGGCUUCCCUGGGGCUCAAAAGAAUCUGGGUCACAAUAGGUCCCUCCUGGCCAAGCUGACUCAGACCCUGAACCUGGCCUCUGAACUCCAGCCUGGGUGAGAAUGGGACCCCGAAAAAAUAAAAAAAGAGAAGAAAGAAAAAAG
rnacentral:lncRNA from 10 species